UAGCGUAGGGGGCAAGCGUUGUCCGGAAUCAUUGGGCGUAAAGCGCGUGUAGGCGGCUCGGUAAGUCUGCUGUGAAAGUCCAGGGCUCAACCCUGGGAUGCCGGUGGAUACUGUCGAGCUCGAGUCCGGAAGAGGCGAGUGGAAUCCUGGUGUAGCGGUGAAAUGCGCAGAUAUCAGGAGGAACACCAAUGGCGAAGGCAGCUCGCUGGGACGUGACUGACGCUGAGACGCGAAAGCGUGGGGAGCAAA
rnacentral:rRNA from 1 species